ensembl:lncRNA
GUAUUUGAACAUCCUGUUUGCAAAUAUUGAACACUGCAGUAUGUUUCAAGUCAUUGCUUUCUGCAUAGGAAGCCAUCGUGUAUGGUACGAAUUGAUGUAAAAACACUUCAACCAGUUAUUGGAAACGUCAUUAUUUAACCUGAAGUGCAGUGUAACUCUGGAAAAAGAUCCUGAUGGUGCAGCGUGCUCAGAAUUCACAGUCGUUUCCUUACAUCCACAAGGGAGCUUUGUAUGACAAACGACCAAGACAGAUGAAUCUGUGAAAUAAAAAAUGCACUCAUUAAUAUGAUGGAUUAAUAUUGAUUGUAUUCAAUCAAAACAAUUCUGGAAAUCCAUUUGUGUAGAAAGAACAUAAUUCACUGGGCUUAUUAUUAACUUCAGGCUUUGUUAGAAAUACAGUCUGGGGUGAAUAGAUCAGCAACUUGAGCUGGUCCAUCAGCUACAGACUUUUACCAUGGAAUGGAAAAGGGUUGAUUGCUAGCUGUCAGACGAGUGACACCACAAGGAGCGGCUGGUAGAUCCACCGAAGUGUGGAGGAUGGUGAGGGGACAUCCACAGGGUCCCUCUGUUCCACAGCCUAAAGGGUGACGAGGCCGUUUGCUGCUGGGACGGACUGCAGCACAGAGGUUAGUGGCAGGUCAGUGUUGGUUGGCGGCCAAGUUUGAGCACCUGCAGGAAAGGGUUAUAAUCCUAUCAGUACUAGUUAACAUGCUAGUCGCCAUACUAGAAAGCAGUGGCACUGAUCUCAUGUUCCUCAUGUCUUGCUCCGGGCGAAGGACAGGUGUAAGUGAAAUAUUGUGAAGGUCACACCUAAAUAUCUCUUUCUAACACAGACUCUAUAAUAUGCACACACAGUGCCGCCUCAGGUACAUCGCAUUUGACUAAGACCGCACAAAGACACAUGGAGGAUGGGUCAAACGCUGUCAAAACUACGGACGUACACACGCUGUUGCAUCUGGGCACAGGUUCGGACAUGAUAGAGAAGGAAAUAGGGCAUCAGGGAAAAGAAAAGAGAGUGUGUUAGGGAGAGUGAGAGACCCCGGUCUGGGCCUUAAGCCUCCUCCGGAUUGCUCUGAUGUUGUUACUGGCAAGAGUUGAACACAGCCCUGCUCUGGGCUGCUCUAUGAUGUUGUUACUGGUAAGAGAAAGGAAGUAGGGCUUAAUUAAUUUGACAUUUGACUAUAACAGAUGAGACUUGAGGCGCCCCAUGAAGUAGAAAAAGCUAUGUCUGUUUUCAUUACAUAACAAAAUGUCUCAAAUAUGCAUUAACAAAAUACACUCAGAAUAGAAAUAAUAAUCGUAAAGGAUAUUAAAUGUGUGGGGAUGUGUGGGUAGCCUUGAUUAGUUAUAUGGAUGGGUCAAUGCUUUAUUUGGAAAUACGGCGAUUAGGG